UCUAUCAUUACCGGGAUACCAUUUCGGGAUGUUCUACACAUUUAGUAUUUCUAGUUUAAAAUUAGUCUUUAGUUUAAAGUAACGAAAUCACGCUCCGCCAUUAUCUGUCUUAAAAAUUAGUGUUUCAAAUUUUUAUUAUGAUCAUUCAAAGUUUUAGUGUUAAUUGUGGGUGUUUACAUUAAUAAGUUCAGUGAAAACUUAUUUGUUCUCUAUAGACAGAUGUGUUAAUUUAUGUAAAGUCAAUGUAAAGGUUCAGAAAUUUUGUGAAGUAUCGAUUUACUUUUGUUUUAAUUAGUUUGCAGUAACCAAAGCAGACCACGUUCACGAGUAUGAUGAGUCAGCCAUCAUUGUGCUCAGCCAUAUUUUGGGGAACUCAAUAACCCGACCCACCACACCGCCACUUACUCAAGGGAACAAGGAUUGGUAUCAGGAAUCCCCCGUUUUUCUUAAGAAGACUUUUAACGAGAUUAGAGGUAGAGAAUACCCCACCUUCUCUAUUAUGAAGAAGUUCGAGGACAGGAGUCCUCAUUAUUAUUGAGCCCAAAGAAGAUAUCUACAACAGCCGGAAGGAGACUUUUAUAUCAUCUCGGAGUAUUACAAACAGUUCCUGCGGGUCUUCUUACACCAGACUAGGAAAAGGUAAU